GAGUCUUAACCGGGCGUUAAGUUGCAGGGUAUAGACCCGAAACCCGGUGAUCUAGCCAUGGGCAGGUUGAAGGUUGGGUAACACUAACUGGAGGACCGAACCGACUAAUGUUGAAAAAUUAGCGGAUGACUUGUGGCUGGGGGUGAAAGGCCAAUCAAACCGGGAGAUAGCUGGUUCUCCCCGAAAGCUAUUUAGGUAGCGCCUCGUGAAUUCAUCUCCGGGGGUAGAGCACUGUUUCGGCAAGGGGGUCAUCCCGACUUACCAACCCGAUGCAAACUGCGAAUACCGGAGAAUGUUAUCACGGGAGACACACGGCGGGUGCUAACGUCCGUCGUGAAGAGGGAAACAACCCAGACCGCCAGCUAAGGUCCCAAAGUCAUGGUUAAGUGGGAAACGAUGUGGGAAGGCCCAGACAGCCAGGAUGUUGGCUUAGAAGCAGCCAUCAUUUAAAGAAAGCGUAAUAGCUCACUGGUCGAGUCGGCCUGCGCGGAAGAUGUAACGGGGCUAAACCAUGCACCGAAGCUGCGGCAGCGACACUGUGUGUUGUUGGGUAGGGGAGCGUUCUGUAAGCCUGUGAAGGUGUGCUGUGAGGCAUGCUGGAGGUAUCAGAAGUGCGAAUGCUGACAUAAGUAACGAUAAAGCGGGUGAAAAGCCCGCUCGCCGGAAGACCAAGGGUUCCUGUCCAACGUUAAUCGGGGCAGGGUGAGUCGACCCCUAAGGCGAGGCCGAAAGGCGUAGUCGAUGGGAAACAGGUUAAUAUUCCUGUACUUGGUGUUACUGCGAAGGGGGGACGGAGAAGGCUAUGUUGGCCGGGCGACGGUUGUCCCGGUUUAAGCGUGUAGGCUGGUUUUCCAGGCAAAUCCGGAAAAUCAAGGCUGAGGCGUGAUGACGAGGCACUACGGUGCUGAAGCAACAAAUGCCCUGCUUCCAGGAAAAGCCUCUAAGCAUCAGGUAACAUCAAAUCGUACCCCAAACCGACACAGGUGGUCAGGUAGAGAAUACCAAGGCGCUUGAGAGAACUCGGGUGAAGGAACUAGGCAAAAUGGUGCCGUAACUUCGGGAGAAGGCACGCUGAUAUGUAGGUGAAGUCCCUCGCGGAUGGAGCUGAAAUCAGUCGAAGAUACCAGCUGGCUGCAACUGUUUAUUAAAAACACAGCACUGUGCAAACACGAAAGUGGACGUAUACGGUGUGACGCCUGCCCGGUGCCGGAAGGUUAAUUGAUGGGGUCAGCGCAAGCGAAGCUCUUGAUCGAAGCCCCGGUAAACGGCGGCCGUAACUAUAACGGUCCUAAGGUAGCGAAAUUCCUUGUCGGGUAAGUUCCGACCUGCACGAAUGGCGUAAUGAUGGCCAGGCUGUCUCCACCCGAGACUCAGUGAAAUUGAACUCGCUGUGAAGAUGCAGUGUACCCGCGGCAAGACGGAAAGACCCCGUGAACCUUUACUAUAGCUUGACACUGAACAUUGAGCCUUGAUGUGUAGGAUAGGUGGGAGGCUUUGAAGUGUGGACGCCAGUCUGCAUGGAGCCGACCUUGAAAUACCACCCUUUAAUGUUUGAUGUUCUAACGUGGACCCGUGAUCCGGGUUGCGGACAGUGUCUGGUGGGUAGUUUGACUGGGGCGGUCUCCUCCUAAAGAGUAACGGAGGAGCACGAAGGUUGGCUAAUCCUGGUCGGACAUCAGGAGGUUAGUGCAAUGGCAUAAGCCAGCUUGACUGCGAGCGUGACGGCGCGAGCAGGUGCGAAAGCAGGUCAUAGUGAUCCGGUGGUUCUGAAUGGAAGGGCCAUCGCUCAACGGAUAAAAGGUACUCCGGGGAUAACAGGCUGAUACCGCCCAAGAGUUCAUAUCGACGGCGGUGUUUGGCACCUCGAUGUCGGCUCAUCACAUCCUGGGGCUGAAGUAGGUCCCAAGGGUAUGGCUGUUCGCCAUUUAAAGUGGUACGCGAGCUGGGUUUAGAACGUCGUGAGACAGUUCGGUCCCUAUCUGCCGUGGGCGCUGGAGAACUGAGGGGGGCUGCUCCUAGUACGAGAGGACCGGAGUGGACGCAUCACUGGUGUUCGGGUUGUCAUGCCAAUGGCACUGCCCGGUAGCUAAAUGCGGAAGAGAUAAGUGCUGAAAGCAUCUAAGCACGAAACUUGCCCCGAGAUGAGUUCUCCCUGACCCUUUAAGGGUCCUGAAGGAACGUUGAAGACGACGACGUUGAUAGGCCGGGUGUGUAAGCGCAGCGAUGCGUUGAGCUAACCGGUACUAAUGAACCGUGAGGCUUAACCUUACAACGCCGAAGGUGUUU
rnacentral:rRNA from 1 species